rnacentral:rRNA from 1 species
GACGAACGCUGGCGGCGUGCUUAACACAUGCAAGUCGAACGAUGAUCUCCCAGCUUGCUGGGGGGGAUUAGUGGCGAACGGGUGAGUAACACGUGAGUAACCUGCCCUGGACUCUGGGAUAACCCCGAGAAAUCGGAGCUAAUACCGGAUAGGACCUUGCACCGCAUGGUGUGGGGUGGAAAGUUUUUUCGGUUUGGGAUGGACUCGCGGCCUAUCAGCUUGUUGGUGAGGUAAUGGCUCACCAAGGCGUCGACGGGUAGCCGGCCUGAGAGGGUGACCGGCCACACUGGGACUGAGACACGGCCCAGACUCCUACGGGAGGCAGCAGUGGGGAAUAUUGCACAAUGGGCGCAAGCCUGAUGCAGCAACGCCGCGUGCGGGAUGACGGCCUUCGGGUUGUAAACCGCUUUUAGUAAGGAAGAAGGGGAGCUUGCUCCUUGACGGUACUUGCAGAAAAAGGACCGGCUAACUACGUGCCAGCCGCCGCAGUAAAAC